rnacentral:rRNA from 1 species
GACGAACGCUGGCCGCGUGCCUAAUACAUGCAAGUAGAACGCUGAAGGAGGAGCUUGCUUCUCCGGAUGAGUUGCGAACGGGUGAGUAACGCGUAGGUAACCUGCCUGGUAGCGGGGGAUAACUAUUGGAAACGAUAGCUAAUACCGCAUAAGAGUAGAUGUCGCAUGACAUUUGCUUAAAAGGUGCAACUGCACCACUACCAGAUGGACCUGCGUUGUAUUAGCUAGUUGGUGAGGUAACGGCUCACCAAGGCAGCGAUACAUAGCCGACCUGAGAGGGGGAUCGGCCACACUGGGACUGAGACACGGCCCAGACUCCUACGGGAGGCAGCAGUAGGGAAUCUUCGGCAAUGGACGGAAGUCUGACCGAGCAACGCCGCGUGAGUGAAGAAGGUUUUCGGAUCGUAAAGCUCUGUUGUAAGAGAAGAACGAGUGUGAGAGUGGAAAGUUCACACUGUGACGGUAUCUUACCAGAAAGGGACGGCUAACUACGUG